rnacentral:rRNA from 1 species
GGCGCGCCUAACACAUGCAAGUCGAACGUGAAAGGGAGCAAUCCUAAGUAAAGUGGCGCACGGGUGCGUAACACGUAGAUAAUCUGCCCUUCGUUGGGGGAUAACGUUCCGAAAGGAGCGCUAAUACCGCAUACAGCACUUGGGGGUUUGCUCCUGGGUGGCAAAGGUUGGGAUUCGCAAGAACCAAUCGACGAAGGAGGAGCCUGCGGCCCAUCAGCUAGUUGGUGAGGUAAUGGCUCACCAAGGCAGAGACGGGUAGCUGGUCUGAGAGGAUGAUCAGCCACACUGGUACUGGAACACGGACCAGACUCCUACGGGAGGCAGCAGUGGGGAAUCUUGGUCAAUGGGCGCAAGCCUGAACCAGCGACGCCGCGUGAGUGAUGAAGGCCUUCGGGUUGUAAAGCUCUGUGGGGAGAGACGAAAGAGCAUGUUCUAACAGGACGUGUGUUGACGGUAUCUCCUUAGCAAGCACCGGCUAACUCUGUGCCAGCAGCCGCGGUAAGACAGAGGGUGCAAACGUUGCUCGGAAUCACUGGGCGUAAAGGGCGUGUAGGCGGGAAGGAAAGUCAGAUGUGAAAUCCCUGGGCUCAACCCAGGAACUGCAUUUGAAACUCCCUUUCUUGAGUGUCGGAGAGGAAAGCGGAAUUCCUGGUGUAGAGGUGAAAUUCGUAGAUAUCAGGAGGAACACCGGUGGCGAAGGCGGCUUUCUGGACGAUAACUGACCGCUAGACGCAAAAGCG